rnacentral:rRNA from 1 species
GAUGAACGCUGGCGGCGUGCUUAACACAUGCAAGUCGAACGAUGAAGCCCAGCUUGCUGGGCGGAUUAGUGGCGAACGGGUGAGUAACACGUGAGUAACCUGCCCUUGACUCUGGGAUAAGCCCGGGAAACUGGGUCUAAUACCGGAUAGGAGCGCCUGUCGCAUGACGGGUGCUGGAAAGAUCUUUCGGUCAUGGAUGGACUCGCGGCCUAUCAGCUUGUUGGUGAGGUAGCGGCUCACCAAGGCGACGACGGGUAGCCGGCCUGAGAGGGUGACCGGCCACACUGGGACUGAGACACGGCCCAGACCCCUACGGGAGGCAGCAGUGGGGAAUAUUGCACAAUGGGCGAAAGCCUGAUGCAGCGACGCCGCGUGAGGGAUGACGGCCUUCGGGUUGUAAACCUCUUUCAGCAGGGAAGAAGCGAAAGUGACGGUACCUGCAGAAGAAGCACCGGCUAACUACGUG